GACGAACGCUGGCGGCGUGCUUAACACAUGCAAGUCGAACGGUGACGGAGAGCUUGCUCUCCUGAUCAGUGGCGAACGGGUGAGUAACACGUGGGCAACCUGCCCCAGACUUCGGGAUAACGCUUCGAAAGAGGUGCUAAUACCGAAUACGAACGCCGUGGGCAUCCACGGUGUUGGAAAGUUUUUCGGUCUGGGAUGGGCCCGCGGCCUAUCAGCUUGUUGGUGAGGUAAUGGCUCACCAAGGCGACGACGGGUAGCCGGCCUGAGAGGGCGACCGGCCACACUGGGACUGAGAUACGGCCCAGACUCCUACGGGAGGCAGCAGUGGGGAAUAUUGCGCAAUGGGCGAAAGCCUGACGCAGCAACGCCGCGUGGGGGAUGAAGGCCUUCGGGUUGUAAACCUCUUUCAGCAGGGAAGAAGCGAAAGUGACGGUACCUGCAGAAGAAGCACCGGCUAACUACGUGCCAGCAGCCGCCGUAA
rnacentral:rRNA from 1 species